rnacentral:tRNA from 1 species
GCCCGGGUGGCUCAGUCGGUUGAGCGUCCGACUUCGGCUCAGGUCAUGAUCUCGCGGUCUGUGAGUUCGAGCCCCGCGUCGGGCU